AAAAUCAAUUUCUCGUGUCUCAAACUACACACUAGUUGAUCGGGAAAUUCAUUUUGGUAAGUUUUGCCGAAGUCUCUGAGAAGUUCAGCAAGAUGAACAAGACUCUGUGUCUCCUCCUCAUUCCCUGUAUCAUUGGGUUCAUCACUGCCCAGAAUUAUGGCGGCUACCCAGGGUAUGGACUCGGAUCACAGCUUCCGUAUGGCGGAUACUACGCGGGAUACGCUUAUCAAUCCCGCCAAAACAACAAUAACCUACUGAUUGGAGGAUUGUUCUUUUUGGCGUUCCUCCUCCUCUCAAACCUGACUGGAUCCAUCUCAGGAUAAACACCAACAGUUGUCACAUUUCAGGGGUCAUUCAGCCAAAGAUUUCUUGCGCACACGUUUGUCUAUUUAUUUUGUUUUUGAUUGUUAUCGCAAUUUAAUAAAUGAAUUAAAAAAAAACAUAAAAAAAAUUA